rnacentral:rRNA from 1 species
GACGAACCGUGCGAACGUUGUUCGGAAUCACUGGGCUUAAAGGGCGCGUAGGCGGGCCCGAAAGUCAAGGGUGAAAGCCCCCGGCUCAACCGGGGAAGUGCCCCUGAUACUUCGGGCCUCGAGGGAGGUAGGGGCGUGCGGAACUUCCGGUGGAGCGGUGAAAUGCGUAGAUAUCGGAAGGAACGUCGGUGGCGAAAGCGGCGCGCUGGACCUCUUCUGACGCUGAGGCGCGAAAGCCAGGGGAGCGAACGGG